GUAUGGUGCAAGCGUUAUCCGGAUUUACUGGGUGUAAAGGGAGCGUAGGUGGCAAGGCAAGCCAGAAGUGAAAACCCGGGGCUCAACCGCGGGAUUGCUUUUGGAACUGUCAUGCUAGAGUGCAGGGGGGGUGAGCGGAAUUCCUAGUGUAGCGGUGAAAUGCGUAGAUAUUAGGAGGAACACCGGAGGCGAAGGCGGCUCACUGGACUGUAACUGACACUGAGGCUCGAAAGCGUGGGGAGCAAACAGGAUUAGAUGCCCUGGUAGUCCACGCGGUAAACGAUGAAUACUAGAUGUCGGGUAGCAAAGCUAUUCGGUGUCGUCGCAAACGCAAUAAGUAUUCCACCUGGGGAGUACGUUCGCAAGAAUG
rnacentral:rRNA from 1 species